rnacentral:rRNA from 1 species
UAACACAUGCAAGUCGAACGGAAACGAAACUAGCUUGCUAGUAGGCGUCGAGUGGCGGACGGGUGAGUAACGCGUAGGAAUCUGCCUGAUAGUGGGGGAUAGCCCGAAGAAAUUCGGAUUAAUACCGCAUAAUCUAUUCGUAGUAAAGUGAGGGACUUUCGAGCCUCACGCUAUCAGAUGAGCCUGCGUAAGAUUAGCUUGUUGGUAGGGUAAAAGCCUACCAAGGCUACGAUCUUUAGCUGGUCUGAGAGGAUGAUCAGCCACAUCGGGACUGAGACACGGCCCGAACUCCCACGGGAGGCAGCAGUGGGGAAUAUUGGACAAUGGGGGCAACCCUGAUCCAGCAAUACCGCGUGCGUGAAGAAGGCCUGAGGGUUGUAAAGCACUUUCAAUUGUGAAGAAAAGUUAACGGUUAAUAACCGUUGACCUUGACGUUAACUUUAGAAGAAGCACCGGCUAACUCCGUGCCAGCAGCCGCGGUAAUACGGAGGGUGCAAGCGUUAAUCGGAAUUACUGGGCGUAAAGCGUGCGUAGGCGGUUUAUUAAGUCAGAUGUGAAAGCCCCGGGCUUAACCUGGGAACUGCAUUUGAAACUGGUCAACUAGAGUAUGGUAGAGGAAAGUGGAAUUUCUGGUGUAGCGGUGAAAUGCGUAGAUAUCAGAAGGAACAUCAAUGGCGAAGGCAGCUUUCUGGACCAAUACUGACGCUGAGGUACGAAAGCGUGGGUAGCAAACAGGAUUAGAUACCCUGGUAGUCCACGCCGUAAACGAUGAUAACUAGCCGUUGGGGGAUUUACCCCUUAGUGGCGAAGCUAACGCGUUAAGUUAUCCGCCUGGGGAGUAUGGCCGCAAGGCUAAAACUCAAAGGAAUUGACGGGGACCCGCACAAGCGGUGGAGCAUGUGGUUUAAUUCGAUGCAACGCGAAGAACCUUACCUGGUCUUGACAUCCUGCGAACUUUCUAGAAAUAGAUUGGUGCCUUCGGGAACGCAGUGACAGGUGCUGCAUGGCUGUCGUCAGCUCGUGUCGUGAGAUGUUGGGUUAAGUCCCGUAACGAGCGCAACCCCUAUCCUUAUUUGCCAGCACAUUAUGGUGGGAACUAUAAAGAGACUGCCGGUGAUGAACCGGAGGAAGGCGGGGACGACGUCAAGUCAUCAUGGCCCUUACGACCAGGGCUACACACGUGCUACAAUGGGAAGGACAAAGAGCCGCGAAGCCGCGAGGUGUAGCUAAUCUCAUAAAUCUUUUCGUAGUCCGGAUUGGAGUCUGCAACUCGACUCCAUGAAGUCGGAAUCGCUAGUAAUCGUAGAUCAGAAUGCUACGGUGAAUACGUUCCCGGGUCUUGUACACACCGCCCGUCAUACCAUGGGAGUGGGUUGCACCAGAAGUGGCUAGUCUAACUUUGUGAGGACGGUCACCACGGUGUGAUUCAUGACUGGGGUG